rnacentral:tRNA from 1 species
UGGAAUAUAAGUGAAUGGAAAACAGACUGCUUGCUAAGCAGUUGCCGGUAAUACGGUUGCAGGUUCGAGUCCUGUAUAUUCCGU